rnacentral:rRNA from 1 species
CUGUUCAGUCAGAUGUGAACUCCCCGGGCUUACCCUGGGAACUGCAUUUGGAACUGGCAGGCUUGAUUCUUGUAGAGGGGGGUAUAAUUCCGGGUGUAGCGGUGAAAUGCGUACAGAUCUGGAGGAAUACCGGUGGCGAAGGCGGCCCUCUGGACAAAGACUGACGCUCAAGUGCCACUGCGUGGGGAGCAAACAGGAUUAUAUACCCUGGUAGUCCACGCCGUAGACGAUGUCGACUUGGAGGUUGUUCCCUUGAUGAGUGGCUUCCGGAGCUAACGCGUUAAGUCGACCGCCUGGGGAGUACGGCCUUUAGUUAGAACUCUGAUGAAUUGACGGGGGCCCGCACAAGCGGUGGAGCAUGUGGUUUAAUUCGAUGCAACGCGAAGAACCUUACCUACUCUUGACAUCCACGGAAUUUGGCAGAGAUGCCUUAGUGCCUUCGGGAACCGUGAGACAGGUGCUGCAUGGCUGUCGUCAGCUCGUGUUGUGAAAUGUUGGGUUAAGUCCCGCAACGAGCGCAACCCUUAUCCUUUGUUGCCAGCGAUUCGGUCGGGAACUCAAAGGAGACUGCCGGUGAUAAACCGGAGGAAGGUGGGGAUGACGUCAAGUCAUCAUGGCCCUUACGAGUAGGGCUACACACGUGCUACAAUGGCGCAUACAAAGAGAAGCGACCUCGCGAGAGCAAGCGGACCUCACAAAGUGCGUCGUAGUCCGGAUCGGAGUCUGCAACUCGACUCCGUGAAGUCGGAAUCGCUAGUAAUCGUGGAUCAGAAUGCCACGGUGAAUACGUUCCCGGGCCUUGUACAC